rnacentral:tRNA from 10 species
GGGUCUGUAGCUCAGUUGGUUAGAGCAGGGGACUCAUAAUCCCUUGGUCGUAGGUUCAAGUCCUACCAGACCCA